GGGGGAUGGAAGACUUGUGCCGGUUUUGCUGGAAGGAGAGAGAGAAAAGGAGGCUGGGGGUCGGCGGGGUUGACGUUUCUAUCCCCGCCCUCUCCCCCUAACACACACACACACACACACACACACACACACACACACACACACACACACACACACGCUCUCUUUAUCUUGGUAGCUUGGGCGCCGCCACAGCUCGGAUUACUCAAGCGUGCUUUAGCGGAAGCCAGCCAAGAAAUCUCCAAAACUCAGUGACAAACAGCUACUCUGGGAAGGUGAUCUCUACGGCCACCGGCCACAGGGCUCCGUCCCUGAGCUCCUCACGCCGCAGUAGCUAAAGCACCCUUAGCUGCAAGGAAAACACAGGUGCUGAACGUGUGGAGCUAUCCAUGGUUCUGAAUCCGACUCAGCAGUUGGCAACUCUUCUCUGCCUACAACCAACCAGGGACAAUAGAACUACAAACUCAGAUGUGAAAACUAAAGGUGAAAAGGGUUAAGAAACUUAACCAAGAUUUCAUAGCUAGCAUGUGGCAGAACUAUGAGCUGGCACCACAGAGAAGGAGAAGGAAAGUGAUGGUGGAUAUAAGAAACAUAAGAAGGAGAGGCGAUGUGAAAUACCUGGGACAUCUCAGAGGAAGGAUUUCGUGACUGAGACAACGAAAGAAUUUCAACAUAUACGAUGUGCAUAAAGAUAAUGUAGACAUAAUUCAAGGAAGUUUUUACAAACAGAAUGUAAACUUGAAUUCAAGGACUUAUUUGCAUGGUUAAAUGAGUUUAAGCGUCAUUUAAAUUAAUGCUUUCAUUCUUAGAUUAGACUCCUGAGAUAUAACCCUGCUGGAUAGUUAGUAGACAUCUUAGCAUUGUUGUUAUGUAUGCUAAAGGUGUACUUAACUUCUAAUAUAACAUAUUUUUGGAAAACAUGCAUAAAAUAUUUUCUAUCUCUGAGAUAUUUGAGCUUUCAGAGUAUCUGCAUUCAGAAUUGGCAGGCCAUGUUAAUAUGUAUAUUUUCAAAAUCCGUAUGGCACCCUUGAAGCCAAGUGUGAAAUUAACUCUACCUGAAUCACAUGUACUGAGUAGGAAAGGGUGGUCCCUAAGAAAACUACUACAAGAAGGUUGGAUGAAUGGACGGAUGGAUGGAUGGAUGGAUGCUAUUCUGGCAUAGUAAUAUAUAUGUCUAUUCCUCCCUCUUUUCCUCCCUUCCUUUCUUUCUCUCCUCCUCCAUUCCUUUCUUCUAACUUGAUAUUAGUGACUAAUAUGUAGCACUGUUAUAAAUACUGAAGAAUACAUUAAUUAAAAACAUGGUUCAUUACUGGAAGAUGAGUCUAGUGCCAAAAUACAGACCACAGCAAAACAGUACAAUAAGUGACUAUGGAGGCAUACACAGGGUACAAUGAAAGUAAUGAAGAGCGGGAGGUUGGGCUAUUUGCAUAUGGUGUCUGGGUUGAUUUUCUAAGGAGAUAAGAUUUAAAAUAUUUCAUGAAAUAUGGGUAGGAGUUAGCCAGAUAAAAGAGUGGAAUAAGGACUUUACCAAAACAUGGAAUAGAAUAUUUAGCAAACAAUUUGGUAUGGCUUCUUAUCUGUGGAUGAGAGUCAGAGGAAGCUGGGGAGUCAUUAACAGGACAUAUGAUAGGAAGUUUGGGUUUAUUCUAAUGACCAUUGUGAGGUUCUAAUGAGGCAAGGGAGAAUAAAUGAGUGUUAUUACAAAGCGUUAAGAC
rnacentral:lncRNA from 10 species